rnacentral:rRNA from 1 species
GUAUGAAUGGUUUUACGGAAGUUUAACUUUUUUUUUAUUAAAAAUAUUGAAUUUGGUUUUUAARUWAAAAAMYUUAAAUUUUAUAAAGUGACGAGAAGACCCUAUAGAAUUUAAUAAUUAUACUGAAAGUAUUAUUUUUUUGUUGGGGUGACAUAAAAAUAACUUUUUAUAAUUUAUUCAUUUUAAAUGAUUUAAGGAUCUUUAUUUUUUGAUUAUAAAAUAAAAUUACCUUAGGGAUAACAGCAUAAUUUUUUUUGAAAGAUCUUAUUUGUAAAAAAGAUUAUGACCUCGAUGUUGAAUUAAGAUAAUAUUUUGGGGUAAGUUUUAAAAUAUUAAGUCUGUUCGACUUUAAUUUUUACAUGAUUUGAGUUCAGACCGGCGUGAGCCAGGUUGGUUUCUAUCUUUUAUUUUUUU